ensembl:lncRNA
GACACUGAAGAAAGAGCUGGAAACCAACAGUACAAAGGUCAACGAUCUAGAGGCUGAACUCUUGGAGGUCCGUGCUGAAAAAAAUAGAAGAGAACAAGAUGUGAAGGAGCUGCAGACCAUAAAUGUGAAGCUCGAAGCCGACAAGAAAGAGUUAAAUGAAGAAGUAGCUAAAUUAAAGCAGAUGCGUGGGAAAUAGAAGCAGAUGUCCUGAUGUCCUUCCUGAAUGAAGGAGCUUGAGACCAAAGACAUAAAGGUUUGUAUCUUUCAUUUAGAUGCAUUCACCAAGGUCUUCAUUACUGAUUUUUCACUGAAAGACAAAUGUAUUCAAAUAACAAAAAUUUCAAAUUAGGAGUUCAUCAAACUAUCUUUAAUGUGAUUUUAGUUAUUCUCUGUUUAAGUGCAUGGAAAUAUAUUGGUUUUAUAUUUGUACAUUUUUUUUAAUUUUGUUUCUCUUUUUUUCAGCUUCUCAGUCAUUUGUACACAUAGUAGGUCCCACCCCACUUACGUAUGUUCAAUUCAUUAUUAUUAACUACUUUUAUAUUUUUACAUCAUUUUUUUUAUAUUAUACUACUUAGACAUAGACAGUAGGGUUGUGGGUCAGAAUGGCCUUUUAAUCAUGCCAGCUUGCAUACUAUAAAAAGUGCCUGCGUGUAGCUGUUAGGAUGCCUGGGUCGUUGACCCAGGGUUUUUGAGUUUAUUAUUUAUUAUUUCUAGUCUUUGGUUUCUUUGAGUUCUGUCUUAUGGUUUAUGUCUCUGUCUUCUCUAGUUGCUCUGUCUCCCCUGUCAGCUGUAUCCCUUUGUCUAGUUCGCGUCUCUUUGUAUCCUUAGUUGCUAUAUCCCCGUGUCCAGUCAGUGUCUGUGUUUGUCUGUGUCUGUCUGCCCUGGUCCCACGUCUCUGUUCCCUCUGUUGUAGUGCCUGCGUGUGAGCCUGUGUCUUUUGUUCAGUCUGUGUUAUGGGUUUCCUGUUUUACUUUGAAAGUCCAUGUCUGAUGUUACUGUGUCUGGUUUUGCUUCCCCUUGUCUCGUUAGGCCUGAUUUGCCCCAGUUAUGUUUCCCUCCUGUUACCCAUUCCCUGAUUGCUCCCUCUGUGUAUUUAAGCCCUGUGUUUCUUUGUGUCUGUGUCGCGAUCUACUGUUUACCUAGCUGUGUGUUCUGUCAGUCCUCUGGUUUAAGUUUAUUUUGAUUUUUUCCCAGUUAUGUUAUAUUUUGAGUUUAACAUUAAAGCUGUUUUGAGUUCACGAUUGUCUCCGGAGUCUGCACCUUGGGUCCUAUUCCUGCCUGCACACAGCCACUCAUAACAGUAGCAGGAGAUCUAGCUCAUUUUUUUUUAUUUCCUUCUAAUUUUUUUGUUUGUUCUAUUUUGUUUUAGUUAUUUGUCUGUCAUAGUAAAUACCACUAUCAUAUACGUAUUGAGAGUGAUCUAAAAGUUAUAUAGUUAUACUCAGAGUUUAUUCAUUUAUUUUGAAUUGAUAGUGUCAUGAAACCAUCUGUGAUGGACCGAGUUGAACAGGAGGAGCCCAGGAAUUAUUAGAAAAAUAUAGUUUCCAUUUAUUUAACCCCCAAAAAUUAUAUUUACAAGACUAAUAAAUGUUUAGCUCAUAAAAGAGGUCAAAGAAACAAAACUGAACUCAGGCAAAGACUGCAAACUUAACAAACCAAAUGACUGCCCAAACAUACAUAAUUGACCUAAACAUGAAAUGACAUACAAGGGUAUAUAUAAUGGCUGAGCAGACCAUUGUGACACAUGAGGGGUAACAAACAAAACACAAUCAUAAAUCACGAAUGCAGUACAAUCUAGUUUGUUAAUAAACUAAACACUAAAGAAGAAAAUCAAAAAACCCCAUUAAACCCUAAACUCAAAUAUUUAAUUAAAUACAAAUACUUUGUUUUUAAAGUAAAGAAAACACACAUUCCCCCUUCAGCAGGAAGUGGUGGUGUGGUCCAAUUAUCUUCCUUUGUAUUUAAUGGUUUCAAACCCUG